rnacentral:lncRNA from 13 species
AGAGGAAAUGCCUAACACGUUUUUUUCCCUUUCCUUAGCUCUUGUAUCUAUCAGGAAUAAGGAAGAUGGAACUUAUCCUGGCCUGUCAGGUCAUUCAGAAAAAUGCUCUUUUGGCAGACAUUCAGCAAGCCUCCUUUUGUUAUUGGAUCCAGCCUCCCCAUACCCUGGACAGAAAGGCUUCCAGAAGCUUUCAUUUCCACUCAGCUGGACAAACGGGGACUCUUAUAGGAUGCUGAACCCCAUCACUCGAAAGAGAGAAGCACUGUGCAGCAGGCUGCAAAGCCCUGGUGAAGUUCUGAGACUCAAAAGAAAAAUUAUUGUUGAAUAUUGCCAUUAAUACAAAGGAAGCCGAAAGCAAAACCUCACCUACUGGAGAGAGAUGCAGUGGGCUGUUCUUCUUUUCUCUCUGAAGAAGCCAGAUGCCACAUCACAGAAGAGUGGCAAAGUGUUGGGACUCCUCUGCAAGCAUGGCUACAGAGAAGUCGCCCUUCAUGUCCUGCAGUGAGGUGGGGAAGAACAGCAUCUGUGACAGGCAGAUCACAGUCCUUGACCGCCAAAAUCAGUGAAGAUGACGCACAUCUGGACAGCGUAUGUGCUUCUGCCCUGGGAGGAAACCCUGCUCACCCUGCUUGCUCUCACCCUGCUGGUAUCAUUUACGGGUUGUGAUGUAAAACAGAGGAAAUGGGGAGUGUGAAUACCAAUCUCACCCUGAAAAGGAUCUGGUUUCCUUAGGUACAAUUUGUGCUUAUCAUUCUUGUGUGAAAGUUAGUAGGUCGCAGCUGGUUAAACAAACCCUGCCCAAUUAUAAUUUCCAUGCUUACAACACAGAGUAUUUAACCUUUCAUUACUCCUUUCUACCCAAAUCAAGGGCUUAAAUUUUUGCAUUCAAUUUUACUUUGUUCUUUUUUCAGUGUAAACAAAAAAGGAAAACAUUAAAAACCUAUAAAAAUAACUUCAAAAAGACCUGAACUUAAUCUCCAAGAUUAAUUGAUGUCUCUUAUUUCAGAAUGUACUAACUGCAUAUUGUACUUCUUCUUCAUGUAUAUGAAGAAAUGGCACAUUGUAUAUAAAAACAAGAAAAUGCAUUAUUCAUGUAAUAAAUGCUGGUUUUUUCAUGUCUUCUGGCAAAAAAAGUAGGCUGCCUACUAGUAACUGCACAUCAUAUUUUAAAAUAAUGAUGCAGAUUUUUAAUGUGCGUCAGUUGCAUUGCCCUGCCUGUCUCCUGUUCUUAGCCAGCAAAAGCACAUUCCCGGAGGAAGAGACCUUGAAUGCCCUCAGUGCAUCAGCUCACAUCCUUGCUUUAUAAAGUAGGUGCUUUAAGAAAGUUUCUUCCAAAUGUCUCUCAAAUUCAGCAGAUUUUGAAGGUCAAACCUUUACCUUGUACUCUACACAUCAUAGCUGAAUCAUGUUAUGUCUAAAAUACACUUGCUCCAAAUCUGAGAGACAAAUCUUAUGUUCAAGUAAGAGUUUAACUUAAAAAAAAAAACAAACCAAAAAAGGAUUUCUGGGAAAUGACAGGAACAAAGAAGCCUCAAAAUACUAUACACUU